CGCAAAACCAGUGGGUACCUUGUA
rnacentral:miRNA from 1 species